rnacentral:rRNA from 1 species
GAUGAACGCUGACGGCGUGCUUAACACAUGCAAGUCGAAGGGAGUGGCGAACGGGUGAGUAACACGUGAGUAACCUGCCCUUUUCUUUGGGAUAAGCCUGGGAAACUGGGUCUAAUACUGGAUGGAUUGGGAUUGGCUCGUUGCUUAUCGGCUGGUUGGUGGUGUGAUGGUUUACCAAGGCUUUGACGGGUAGCCGGCCUGAGAGGGGGUUCGGUCACACUGAGACUGAGCUACUGCCCAGACGCCUACGGGAGGCAGCAGUGGGGGAUAUUGCACAAUGGACGAAAGUCUGAUGCAGCGACGUCGUGUGGGGGAUGAAGGCCUUCGGGUUGUAAACUCCUUUCGCCCGCGGAAUGGGAGUGGGUAAAGAAGCGCCGGCUAACUACGUGCCAGCAGCCGCGGUAAUAC